UCUCAAACUCUCACUGAGAAAGUUGUUUAGCUUGACUAUGAGUUCAUCAGCAUUGUUGUAGAAAGUUUAGUUGUAUGAAGAAAUAUCAUUGUGGAUGUUGGUCUCUUUCAGAACCUGAGGUAAUACCAGUGUUUGAUGCUUUAAAGAUGAGAAUUAGGAGCUUUCAUUUUUAUUAAUAAUUAAACAAUAACCUAGUGUGAGAAUAGAAUGAUUCUGAUGGGUUCUGGUUAUUUUAGAUUUGUUGCAGUUUGUAUGGGUACAUCUAUUUGACCACAGAAAUUCCUGUGUCUAUCCUUUAUUAUUAGAAAACUAUUUUGUUUAGUUUAGUUUUAAAAUAUCACUUCCAGUGCAUGGCUCAGCUGUCUGUCUUUGCCAAACAUGGACAACUACACACGGACUGUAUGUCUUCUAAAGAUCUGUCUUCUCCCCUUACAGGAAUUUACUAAAUGGUUUGUAUCAGAGCAAAACCAGCUACCCAUGACUAAGUAGAAUAUUUUGUUACACCAUUUCCCUGUUACUGAUGGGAUACUCCACAUGGCCCCUCAAUGCACAUCUUCCAGCUUGUUUUUCCAGGAGAGGAACCAUUCCAUUUUGAGCAGUGGUGUGGAUAAAGGCAUUGCAAGUGUGCACACCGGGAAGUGCUGCAUCUUGAAAGACCCAAGGCAACACAUGGAGGCACCGAUAGAUACUGCAGAGGCUCCCCUAGAAGCAUCUCAUACAUACUAGAUUAUGUGACCUACUGGAAGGGAAACCCCCAUCCUUUCUGUUGCAGCAGUGCUGUGGAGCAGAAAAGUGCAGUGAGUAGAAAAAUACUUGAAAAAAAAGGCUGAUCAAUUGCUUUAAUUUUUUUCCUCUAUAUGUUUUGAGAUCUGAGCAGUGGAGAAGUAUUUCUGUGAGUACUUCUAUAUUAGCAAUUUUAUUAUAUGCAGGUAGAUGUUCAUGGCUGAAAGGGACAAUCAUAAGGAUCUAUUUCACUCCCUCUCUAAUACAGGUAGUAAAAAUACUCCAGUGACUCCUGAAUAAAAUCUACUGGCUCAGAUAAAGCUAGAAAACCUCAUUUAGAAAAUUGAAUAUUUGUGCCCUGACUAUUUGUACCUAUGCGCUAAUUUUUUUGCACUGGCUCUUCAGGUGAUCUAUUGAACUUUGCAUCACUGGAAUAUAUGGGCAUGAAAGUUUACCAUGAUAUCAAACAGCACACUGAAGCACAGACAGGUGUGACAGCAUACAAAUGUCUAUUUCCUGGCAGUUGGACAGAUUUUUUUUCUUUUUAAAAAAUGAUUCGUAUAACACUUUCAUUACCCCAGAUCUAAGCAAAUGUGGGUAUUAAAGCCAGUAUCUCAAGAUUUAUAUAUCAAUGUACGGAAAAGUGCUGUCAGGCUCAGACAGCUGGGAACAUUAAUAGCAAAGGAAAACAUUUUGGCUGGAUUUUUAUAAUAUCUCUACUAGAAAACUUAAAAUAUUGCUAUUAAUUUGCUAUUUUUAAAAUCAAGUUAUUUCAGCUAAGAUUUGUAUUUAUCUGUUAUGCCUGAAAAUAGCAAAAAGGGUACCAAGUCUGUCCUUUUAUGCCUCUUAAAAGUCAAGUCAGUUUAGAGAAUUACAAAAGAUUCAGGUUUUCCUGCCUUGUGGUGAAGAAGCUGAAGAAGCAAGUUCACAUGUCUUGACUAUACUGUUGUAAAACCUCAUCUCAGGUCAGAGACGGGAUUAAGAAAAACAUGAUUCUCAAUAAAAACAGUCACCUGAGCUCACCUCUGCUGCUCCUGGAAUUUGAAAAAUCAUCUCUGCUGAGGUGAUUGUGCUCAAAGGACAUAUUAAUGCAACCUGCAUCAUUAUGCACAGUUUCUUCUUCAGUCUAUUAUCUUCCAAGGCCCCUUUUUCUGAGAAAAAGUCUAAACUUUGUUCACCAUCAGUGAAUAAGACAUACAGCUACAGAAGCACAUGGGAACAAAAGGGAAUGAUUAACAGCUUUCAAGCAGAGAUGAGUGAUACAUCUUUCAAACUGAAAGAGGGUAAAAGAAAUAGCAUUUGGGACACAAUUUGGGACACCAGCAGGAGUCCCUGUUUCUAGGAAAUGAUAUUCAGUCUUGUUAAAAUACUUAUGAUUAGCAUAGUUUUUAAUUUAAUUUUCAUUUGUGGAAGGGUUACACUAUGUUUGCUGUUGUACUCGGUUAAGUGAGAGGCAAUAUCUUUAUUAAUAGGGUUUCAAAGGAAUGAACUGCUUGCAUUUUGUAGGAGUAUGACAUUGAUUUCAUGUGGCCAGCCUAAUAUAUGAAAACAGCUGAGCUAUACUAGAAAGCACUAGAAAGGCUACUGAUCUUAAUUCUAGCUGUCAGUCUUGUAAUUCAAAAAAUAGUUUGGCUAGUCUGUGAAGACUUGGAGACUUUUCCACUCCUCAGUUCAAUGGGACAAUAGGCAGGAAAACCACAGCUGUCUCAGGUGACCUGUGCCUGACUGCUGCAGUGCUUCCCAGAUGCUUCAGCCAUCGCACCCACGGCAAGGCUCUGACUGAAAGGUGCUGUGGCUUUCUGGCCCACCUACUGAGGUGUCUUCUAUGCAAAUGAGAGCAAGGGUGAAGCAUGAUUGGAAGUCACCAGGGAGUGGUGGUGUUAAGUGCCAUCCUCUCCCUUUAGACAUAACCAGUGAAACCUGGAGAAACCCAAAAGCUGUCAGGCAUGAGGAAAGGAGUGUUUGACUUUGUGAAUGACAGAUAAACCUUCCCAGCUGUUUUCUGGUCAGUUUGUUUCCACUGCACAUAGACACUUCCCCAGCUGGUAUUUUCUUCUUUAAUUCCCUCACUGAAGAUGUGUACAUUGGAACCUGAUACUUCAUGUGUAUGUGAGGGAGAGCUCUGCUGCACCACAGGCACCAUAAAUAACUACUCCCAUCAGAGGUGAGGCAUAUUGCUGGUGCGGCUCAUAAUGUUAAUACUGAGUGUUAAUAUCCUGCCCUUUAUCUUAAUUAGUGUUGCUUUCAAUUAGAAGUAAGACAUUCACUUUGGAAUAAAAGAACUGACCCACACCUCUUCCCUAAAUUUGAAUUAUCCCCACAAUUAAGUGCUAAGUAUCUGUCUUGACACUUACAGACCCUUAUCACCAUCAUGUCUGAGUGACUGGAAAUGAACUGCAGCAUUCAUUCACCCACCCAUUCCAUAAAUAUUUCAUAUCAGACAUUAAAGAUGUCUUCUGUGAUGCAUUUCAGGACAGCAUUUUAUGUGCUUUACAAAGGACUGACAAAUUUCCCUUAUAACCUAACACCGUCCUUUUACUCACUUUUGGAUCUUUAACAAGUUUCAGACAUUGAUAAUUUUGUGAUACUGAAUUCUUAGAAAGUUAUUUACAUCCCCAUAGACUACCCUGCAUUUGUACCUUUAGUACUGACUCUGCUUGAGUUUACAGUGAAAGGGUCACAAUAACUGGAGAAAAAAAAUAGACAGAUUUUUUGAAACAAAAUUUUUCUGGUUUAUGUGUGUAGUGCAACAUAUAAUACGUGUUUGGUUUUCUGUAUGUCUGUGGACAUAAAACAUACUAAAAUAGGAGCUAGACUAUUUGAACACCUUAUCCAAAAGGGCCUUUACUUUGAAUCUGAAUUUCUCUGUCCACUCCUAUUCUGAUAUUAGCAUGUUGACUCUGUAAUCUGAAGGCUUUUGGCCUUUAAUUUUCUCUAUGCCAUCUGACUGUAUGAUGGUGGGUUUGGGGUCCCUCAACAAUUUACUGGCACAUCCUUUAAAUAAGUUCUUAAUGCAACAAUAAUUUACUAAAAAGCAACUAUUUUUAGAGUAGGAAAAGUCUGUAGUGAUCUGGGGUAACUGUCCUGUUAGGCUGAGGUAAUGAGCUUCUGAAGCCCUGAGGUAUCUUUCUGGUGAUUUUAGAAACCAUAAGCACUUUACUGUAAAAAUUAAGUUUUGUUUGUUCUUCCUGAUUUCGAUAACUUGAGUGCUGAAAAAUUGCAUCGCAUCCCACAAUUUCAGAGGAGGUAUGGAAAAUGAUGCAAUUGUGAGAUAUUAUUCAAACAUCUGAGCAGUUGGAAAACUGUGGAAACUGUAGGGCAACAGUGAAUUCACAGGUUGGAUUACGUGGAUCUUAAUCAGACUCACAACUGGGAAGAAUGGAGGUUAUCUACUCAACAACCUAGUUGACAAACCUUCCAGCAACUUCCAAGAAACUUUUCAGGAGUUCAGAUGUUUGGGCCAGAGCAGUGAUGACAGAAGCACCACUGUGGGACUGUGAGUAGUAAAUCCCAAUCUGUUUGACUUCAUUCUACUGCUUUGUGUUACUAGAGGACCCAGUGAGUUAGAAACCUUUGGAAAUGCUGUUUACCUUUCCCCUUGACAAAGAGUAAAGAACUGUCAGUAACAGAAAGUGACACAAAUGAGCCACUUCUGCACGUGCCUGUGCCAUAACCCAAAGGAAGGAUGUUUUCUGAUCUCUUUUUGAUGCUUUAUUGUUAUUAUUAUUUUUUGAACAACGGAAGGCAAAAGGGUUGGAUGUACAAGUAUGGUGUGAAAGUGUGUUAUUUUCACAGUUUCAGGAACCUCACCUUAGGUCUGACAUGGCCAGAGGAGUUUGGUUUCUCAUAUGCUCCAUGAACAUAGGAGGUGUCUUUACCCACAGAGAUGAGCAUACAUAUACAGAAGGGUGUGUGGGAAUUGUGGAAGUUAUUCUGUACAGUAAUUCCCUUCUUGUGCUAUAGCAUGUACAAUAAAACAUACGGUAAGGAUUGUAACAUGGUUUUAUUUGAAGGUAACAAGGGAAUACUGAAAAAAGUGUAACUGCAGACUUACAGAUGCUUCAUUUCUUUGCUUCUCAAAAUGAUCUCUACUUCUCAAUAAAACAGUCUAGACUGAUGCUAUGGAGAAUCUGAAAGCUAUGUGAUAGUCUCUUUAUGCCUACAGUCAUUUUCUUUUUGUGGAGCAUAACAAAAACUAAGUGGACAAAGUUGCAGAACAACAAAAAGAAUAUAACUGUUUCAAAACACUUUGAAUUUGGCAAGUAAAAACAGAAAAAAAACAUGUAAAGUAUGCCAAAAAAAAGUAUUCACAACAAGCUGAGUUAGCAAAAGGCUUCCUAUACUGCAGAUGUUCCACUUCUGGGACAAGAAGAGAAAGUGAGUCCAAAUUGAUAUAACAGAAGAUCUUCCAGCACAGUAAAAGCCUUUGGUGAAAGGGGGGUUUGUGCAGUCACAGGCAGCUGUAUUUUACUGUAUUGUGCACAGUUGAAAACUAUCCAGUACUGAUGUGGACCUGGCAGACUCAUCUGGAAACUGUUUCUGCCAACAAGAUGUCUUUGGAAGGCUGAAAAAAAUGAGAAACUAAAUUCUUCACAGCUUGCUGAGAUAAGAGGUUCCUGGGAAUUGCUGAGUGUUAGAUUGCUGCCCUAAACCCCUCAAUUUCACGCUCUCUUUUUCUGUACUGUAUAUUUGUUCCAACUGGCUCCCUACCUUGAACUCUACCACAUCCUGCUGGGUUAAAUGUGAUGGACAGUCUAUAUGAAAACCAAUCAGUUAUUUUGACAGGAGACUUAGAAAAGGUCAAGGCCACCUGUUCUCAAAAACCUGUCUGCCGAGUCUUCAGCUGUCAGAGAUGAAAUGUCUCUGAGGCUCUUCUUUGGACUGGGCUGUAUUUUCAUUUUGUCCCAGACAAUCAGCAGUGAAGGCCUUCCAGUGCUUUCAUCAUAGUAUUUAUUUGAUUGCUAGAUUUAUAAGUGGGAAAUUGUGACUCAAGUACACUGGCUGCGUAGUGUGCUGCAAUACCUCCAUAUG